rnacentral:lncRNA from 1 species
UGCACUCCAGCCUAGGUGACAGAGUAAGACCCUGCCUCAAAAAAUUAAUUAAUUAAUUAAAUAAAAUAAGAAAUCUAUUCUGGAAAUCAGUCAUCAAACACCACAAUUUUGGGAAUAUAGUUUGGACGACCACUUCCUUUUCUGGAAACCAUUUUUAGAAUAAGAAAAUGAGCCAGAAUACACCUUGCCAAAUAAGUUUCCCCAAAUCACAAUUAUGAUUUGGGGAAUGAACACAAGAAUGAACAAAUUAAGUCAUAAAUGUAUGCAAUCAUUUUUGAAUGUCUUUGCAGAGAAAUAUUCAAAGUGGUAAGAUGGAUUGAACUGCCAACCAAAAUUGUCAAUCUUUAUUUCAGUCUUCACUAUUAAGCUAAAAAGGUAAUUUUUCUCUUGAAUGAUGUGAAGAAUUGAAUUUCUUUCAACUGUUCCAAAAAUCUAUUCCUGCCUGCCACCCUGUGGGGCAGGCAAGAUGAUAUUAUACAUCUCUUAUAAAACAAAGAUACAGACUCAGAAUGGCUAAUAGGAUAUUGCUGAGGCCUGCCAGGUAUCUUUUGGUGAAUAGAUACUCUUUAUCUUAAGGUAUCUUUUGGUGAAUAGAUACUCUUUAUCUUAAGAUUUGUUGUGGUUAUUCUUGGUCUGCUGCCCAUCUAUAAAAAAUUUAGAAUCCAUCGGUAAAGUUGCACAACAAAUUCUGUUAGGAUUUUGUUGGAAUUACACUGAACCUACAGAUCGGUUUGGGAAUAACUGACAUCUUUACAAUACUGAGUCUUCCCAUCCAAGGAAACAGUAUAUUAUAUUCCAUCUAAUUAUGUCAUUUGGAAUUGUCUUCCAAUAAAUUUUUAUGGCUUUUCUGCA